GGGUCUGUAUUAUGGCAAAGCACCUCAAACUUCUACAUUGCUUGAUAACCGUGGAUGCCAAGCCUUGCGUAAAGACGUUGAAGGGCUUUAGUCUUCAAAAGAAGAACAUCCACAUUUCCGCUUGUUUAGGCUAGCUGUAUCAGAUGCUUCCUCACAACAGGAGUAUUUAAUCCAGAUCCAACUAAUAACAGCAGCAAGAGUCAUGUGCACAUGGAGGGUGAUUCGUUGAACAAAACCACAUGAUGGCCAACAUUGAGUUUUACGACCAUUCACGACACAUGGCAAACCAAAAACAACAGUCACAGAUUAAGAUUAAGAACGGAAUCAGAAUUGGGAUUGGGGAUAUAGGGUUUUAGGAAGUUGGGGAAUUAGGUUGACUUUGGUCAAAGUUGACCAAAAAGUCAACUGUUGACCAAAAAGUCCAAUAUUGGUCAACACCUCUUCCUUUGCAUUUUUUCCAUGUAAUGAACCUUUCAUGAUCAUGUAAUGAAUGACAUUUCUUCAUUUAAAUGAACUUGGAUUGGUAUUUGAA